rnacentral:sRNA from 1 species
GUGAAGUUGAUCACAAGCAAACAUAUACCCCUUUGUUUGACCGUGAAAAAUUUCUCCCAUCCCCUUUGUUCGUAUGAAUAGAAGAAGCCCUGCUUAUCCCGGCAGGGCUUUUU